GAUGAACGCUAGCGGCAGGCUUAAUACAUGCAAGUCGAGGGGCAGCAGCUUUGUAGCAAUACAGAGGCUGGCGACCGGCAAACGGGUGCGGAACACGUACAGAACCUUCCUUCGAGCGGGGAAUAGCCCAGAGAAAUUUGGAUUAAUACCCCAUAGUAUUGUGAAGUGGCAUCACUUUACAAUUAAAGAUUAUCACUUGAAGAUGGCUGUGCGGCUGANAGGUAGUUGGCGGGGUAACGGGCCCACCAAGCCUGCGAUCAGUAACUGGUGUGAGAGCACGACCAGUCACACGGGC
rnacentral:rRNA from 1 species